UACGUAGGGUGCAAGCGUUGUCCGGAAUUAUUGGCGUAAGAGCUCGUAGGCGGUUUGUUGCGUCGGCUGUGAAUCCCGAGGCUCAACCUCGGGUCUGCAGUCGAUACGAGCAAACUAGAGUGUUGCAGGGGAGACUGGAAUUCCUGGUGUAGCGGUGAAAUGCGCAGAUAUCAGGAGGAACACCGGUGGCGAAGGCGGGUCUCUGGGCAACAACUGACGCUGAGGAGCGAAAGCGUGGGGAGCGAACAGG
rnacentral:rRNA from 1 species